rnacentral:rRNA from 1 species
GGGGAAUUUUCCGCAAUGGGCGAAAGCCUGGCGGAGCAAUGCCGCGUGGAGGUAGAANGCCCACGGGNCGUAAACUCCUUUUCUCANANAAGAAGCAAUGACGGUAUCUGAGGAAUAAGCAUCGGCUAACUCUGUGCCANCNNCCGCGGUAAGACAGAGGAUGCAAGCGUUAUCCGGAAUGAUUGAGCGUANANCGUCUGUAGGUGGCUUUUUAANUCUGCCGUCAAAUCCCAGGGCUUAACCCUGGACAGGCGGUGGAAACUACCAANCUGGAGUACGGUAGGGGCANAGGGAAUUUCCGGUGUANCGNUGAAAUGCNUANA